GAAGGCAGAGCCCGGGAGGAGCCGGGAUGAAGCGGGGCGGGCCCGGGGCUGGGGCCGAGGUGAUUUAACGCCUGGAAACCACCCGGCCGCCGUUUGCUGACGCCAAGCGGGGUGAGAGGAGGAGCUGCUUGUUCGGGCUCCCAGGUGUUUCCCAGUCCAGCUCGCUGAGCCUCCAGCUCUGACUGUGGCAAGUUCUUCAUUCCAGCUCUGGCUCUGAGAUGCUGCACUUGAUGGCUGCUCCAGUUCCUUCCAGCUCUGGGUAAAUAACUGGUGUCUCUUGUGUAAUCUGUGUCCUUGUUCUGUCCUUUGUGUCCAUCUGUGUUACCUUUGUCACAUCUCCAUGCUUUAUCAGCAUCCUUCCAAGCCAUGGUAGCCAGACUCUACUCGUGUACUUUCCUGCAUUGUGCUUAUUCCAGCACAUUACCUUUUUGCUUUUUGAGACGGAAAGAAGUACACAAGAUCUUCUCAUCCAUCUUCCUUCUCAGCUUUGGUAGUGCCUGCUUUUCACGUGCCAUUCUCUUGGCCUUCUGUAGGGAGUGUGUUAGACCCUCCUUAUGUGCCCUCACUAGUUCCAUAGGUUCUAUCUUGGGCUUGAGACUUAAUCCUCCAGAGAGUUAUCUCCAGUCCUCAUCCAUGGUGUGUGUACCUACCUUGACUUAUACUGUAUGUAGCUGUCUUGGUUUAUGUUGCAUGUACCUUUACUGUGUGCAUCUCUACUGUAUGGGCCUUUAUUGUGCCCCUUAGGUCGGAGCUGCCCUGCCCUGGCACCCGCUUGGGUAGAAUAGUUACAGAACUUUAUUGUUCCUCUCUUUUCUGUGGGGUUUUGGGUAGGAAAUGUGUGGGGAUCACCUCUACCUGACCAGCUCCUGCUGUCUCUCAGGUCCCUGAGGUGGAGUCCCAUCUCUGCAGUCACCAAUUAUGCCGAUUUCCCUGGAAUCUCCCGUUGGGUGUUGAAGAGCAGCAGCCGGGGGAUGUGUUGAAGCAUCCUCUUCAUGCAGCAUUCCAAGUGAGGGUUGCAGUCAGCCUGUCAGCUGCAGAGUGUGACAGGGGGGAGCGUGUGUCUGUCUGGGAGAGUCUGUGUCUGUCUGGAGAGUCUGUGUCUGUGUCUGUCUGCUUAUGUCUGCCUGUGCCACUGUGUGUGCUGACUGCUUCUAACCUUGUGCAUAUGGUUUUUACCUUUUACCUUUCUCAACUCAUUUUUAAAUUUAGAAUAAAAAUUCCCCAGCCAGGGGGUUGGGUUUUUUUCCCCCCAGCUGGAUUUUAUUCCUUGGUCCCAGCCAACAAGGCGAUGUUCAUCCCCAAAGUUUGGGCAUGGACAGUCCCAGUAGCAGGAUUUUGUCAGCAGGAGGGUUUUUGAGGCAUGGACAGUCCCAGUAGCAGGUUUUUGCCAGCAUGAGGAUUUUUCAGGCUCCUAGGAGCACUGAUGGCCGUGGUGUAAUGGAGCAGUGGAGACAAGAGCCACGGUGAGUUUGUGUGUGAGCUGAAAGAGUCGUGUGUGGUGCACAAGUGUUCUUCUUUUUGUGUGCUGCUUCUGUGUUGGGUUUCAUGUACAAAUAAUAGCAACUGUAAUCAACACUUCAGAAACAGAAAAAUGGUUCUAUUGCAUUAAUUAUAUAUUUUUGGUUUGUGUUCCCCUGUAUUGUUCUGUGUUUGCACUUGCUGCUGCAUUUCCAUGCAUUGCUCUGUAUGUAAAUUCACCUUUAGCAGCGUGUCCAUGGAGUGUACCUGUAAUUGAAUUGGUACCUGUCCUUGCCUUUGUACACCUUGCUGUCUUUUGCUGUGAAUAAAAACAUUCAUUCAAUAAAGUUAAGUCGCCCCUAGUCAAGAUA